rnacentral:rRNA from 1 species
GAUGAACGCUGGCGGCGUGCCUAAUACAUGCAAGUCGAGCGAACAGACGAGGAGCUUGCUCCUCUGACGUUAGCGGCGGACGGGUGAGUCACACGUGGAUAACCUACCUAUAAGACUGGGAUAACUUCGGGAAACCGGAGCUAAUACCGGAUAAUAUAUUGAACCGCAUGGUUCAAUAGUGAAAGUCGGUUUUUCUGUCACUUAUAGAUGGAUCCGCGCCGCAUUAGCUAGUUGGUAAGGUAACGGCUUACCAAGGCAACCAUGCGUAGCCGACCUGAGAGAGUGAUCGGCCACACUGGAACUGAGACACGGUCCAGACUCCUACGGGAGGCAGCAGUAGGGAAUCGUCCGCAAUGGGCGAAAGUCUGACGGAGCAACGCCGCGUGAGUGAUGAAGGUCUUCGGAUCGUAAAACUCUGUUAUUAGGGAAAAACAAAUGUGUAAGUAACUAUGCACGUCUUGACGGUACCUGAUCAGAAAGCCACGGCUAACUACGUG